AUGCAGAUCUUCGUGAAGACCCUAACGGGUAAAACCAUCACGUUGGAGGUGGAGGGCGGCGCCGACACCGUGGACAGCGUCAAGGGCAAGGUCUGGGACAAGGAAGGGAUCCCGCCGGACUAGCAGCGGCUCAUCUUCGUCGUGAAUCAAUUGGAGGACGGUCGCUUGGGCGACUACAACAUGCACAAGGAGUCGACACAACACGUGGUGCUCCGCAUCCAUAGCAGCACCACCAUCAAGGUCAAGACGCCAACCGCCAAGGAGAUCGAGAUCGACAUUGAACCCACUGACACGGCCGACAGGAUCCAGGAGCGCGUCGAGGAGAAGGAGGGCAUCCCGCCAGUCCAGCAGAGGCUCAUAUUCGAUGGCAAGCAUAUGGCCGGCGACAAGACAGGCGGCUACGUGCUCCACCUCGUGCUCGCCCUAGGGGGAUGCCUUCUAGAAUUUGGGUCUUACGGUCGCUUGCUUUCCCAUGAGGGUGUAGCUUUGGUUUGA
rnacentral:rRNA from 1 species